rnacentral:sRNA from 1 species
UACCGAGUGCGGGCCCUCUGGGUCCAACCUCCCAUCCGUGUCUAUCUGUACCCUGUUGCUUCGGCGUGGCCACGGCCCGCCGAAGACUAACAUUUGAACACUGUCUGAAGUUUGCAGUCUGAGUUUUUAGUUAAACAAUAAUUAAAACUUUCAACAACGGAUCUCUUGGUUCCGGCAUCGAUGAAGAACGCAGCGAAAUGCGAUAAUUAAUGUGAAUUGCAGAAUUCAGUGAAUCAUCGAGUCUUUGAACGCACAUUGCGCCCCCUGGUAUUCCGGGGGGCAUGCCUGUCCGAGCGUCAUUGCUGCCCUCAAGCACGGCUUGUGUGUUGGGCUUCCGUCCCUGGUAACGGGGACGGGCCCAAAAGGCAGUGGCGGCACCAUGUCUGGUCCUCGAGCGUAUGGGGCUUUGUCACCCGCUCCCGUAGGUCCAGCUGGCAGCUAGCCUCGCAACCAAUCUUUUUAACCAGGUUGACCUCGGAUCAGGUAGGGAUACCCGCUGAACUUAAGCAUAUCAAUAAGCGGAGGAAAAGAAACCAACAGGGAUUGCCUCAGUAACGGCGAGUGAAGCGGCAAGAGCUCAAAUUUGAAAUCUGGCUCCUUCGGGGUCCGAGUUGUAAUUUGUAGAGGAUGCUUCGGGUGCGGCCCCCGUCUAAGUGCUCUGGAACGGGCCAUCGGAGAGGGUGAAAAUCCCGUCUGGGACGGGGUGUCCGCGUCCAUGUGAAGCUCCUUCGACGAGUCGAGUUGUUUGGGAAUGCAGCUCUAAAUGGGUGGUAAAUUUCAUCUAAAGCUAAAUACUGGCCGGAGACCGAUAGCGCACAAGUAGAGUGAUCGAAAGAUGAAAAGCACUUUGAAAAGAGAGUUAAACAGCACGUGAAAUUGUUGAAAGGGAAGCGCUUGCGACCAGACUCGCUUCCGGGGUUCAGCCGGCUUUCGGGCCGGUGUACUUCCCCGGGGGCGGGCCAGCGUCGGUUUGGGCGGCCGGUCAAAGGCCCCUGGAAUGUAACGCCCCUCGGGGCGCCUUAUAGCCAGGGGUGUCAUGCGGCCAGCCUGGACCGAGGAACGCGCU